UAGUUAGAGUGCCACUCUGCAGAAUGAAGACAAGCAGAGCUAAGCAAGGAGGCAGGGAAGCCAAGGGCCUCAGGGAGCACAGAAUUCAGUCCUUGGUUCCUGUAGCUUUUCUUUUGAUCCUUUGAGCUAUCCCAGUAUAUCCCAGUAGUUGUUUUUAGCUACAUGAGCCACUAAAUUACCUAUUUUUGCUUAGGUUAGAGCUGGAUUUUUGUUGCUUCUGAAAUACUUUUAUUAACAACUGAGAAAAGUAAACAAAGUGCUGUGAAAUAUCUUUUGUAAAAUGAAUAAUUUUGAAAUUUUGUCUCUUCUAGAUUGUUGGACCUUCAGAUGGAAGUAGUUACAUUAUAGAUUACUAUGGAACCAGACUUACAAGACUGAGUAUUACUAAUGAAACAUUUAGAAAAACGCAAUUAUAUCCAUAAAUAUUUUUUAAAAGAAACAGAUUUGAGCCUCCUUGAUUUUAAUAGAGAACUUCUAGUGUAUGGAUUUAAAGAUUUCUCUUUUUCAUUCAUAUACCAUUUUAUGAGUUCUGUAUAAUUUUUUGUGGUUUUUGUUUUGUUGAGUUAAAGUAUAUUAUUGUGAGAUUUAUUUAAUAGGACUUCCUUUGAAAGCUGUAUAAUAGUGUUUCUCGGGCUUCUGUCUCUAUGAGAGAUAGCUUAUUACUCUGAUACUCUUUAAUCUUUUACAAAGGCAAGUUGCCACUUGUCAUUUUUGUUUCUGAAAAAUAAAAGUAUAACUUAUUCA
rnacentral:lncRNA from 1 species